rnacentral:tRNA from 1 species
UCCCCGAUAGCUCAGUCGGUCGAGCAGGUGGCUGUUAACCACCCUGUCGGCAGGUCGAGUCUGUCUCGGGGAG